rnacentral:rRNA from 1 species
AUCAACUUUCGAUGGUAGGAUAGAGGCCUACCAUGNUGGUAACGGGUAACGGGUGUUAGGGCACGACACCGGAGAGGGAGCCUGAGAAACGGCUACCACAUCCAAGGAUGGCAGCAGGCGCGCAAAUUACCCAAUCCCGACACGGGGAGGUAGUGACAAUAAAUAACAAUACGGGGUUCUUUCGGAUUUCGUAAUUGGAAUGAGUACAAUUUAAAUCUCUUAACGAGGAACAAUUGGAGGGCAAGUCUGGUGCCAGCAGCCGCGGUAAUUCCAGCUCCAAUAGCGUAUAUUAAAGUUGCUGCAGUUAAAAAGCUCGUAGUUGAAUUUCGGGACCAAUAUGUCGGUCGUGCCUCGGUACGUACUGGCAUCGUUGGUUUCUCCCUUCUGACGAACCAUGAUGUCAUUUAUUUGGUGUCGUGGGGAAUCAGGACUGUUACUUUGAAAAAAUUAGAGUGUUUAAAGCAGGCUCACGCUUGAAUACAUUAGCAUGGGAUAAUGAAAUAGGACGUUUGAUUCUAUUUUGUUGGUUUCUAGGAUCGACGUAAUGAUUAAUAGGGAUAGUUGGGGGCAUUAGUAUUCAAUUGUCAGAGGUGAAAUUCUUGGAUUUAUUGAAGACUAACUACUGCGAAAGCAUUUGCCAAGGAUGUUUUCAUUAAUCAAGAACGAAAGUUAGGGGAUCGAAGACGAUCAGAUACCGUCGUAGUCUUAACCAUAAACUAUGCCGACUAGGGAUCGGAUGAUGUUAAUUUUUAAUGACUCAUUCGGCGCCUUACGGGAAACCAAAGUGUUUGGGUUC